ensembl:lncRNA
GGCUGAUAUAUAUUGGCAGUUUCAGACUGAAAUGUGUUCUGCCCCCCAAAAUAAUAUCUAGCCCCCAAAACUAAAUGUGCUUCACAAAGUGUUUUUGCAUUUUGACAUUGAAUCCACACAACAACAGCGUUUUCGGAGCCUGAAAAUGUGAACUUUCCGUUUCCCGAGUAGAAUCUGAUGAGAACACAACCCUUAUGUCGAUGAGUAGACACAUGAAGAAUACAGAACCUUGUGAAAACGACAGACACGGCGUCAACAUUAUCCAAUCAAGUUUCAUUUCUCUGUGAAGCUUCAGUCUGUGCUCCGCAGCCUUCAGCCUUCAGCACGUCAGUGAAUAGAAAAUCAAUGUUUGAUUGUCAGACACAUCAUGGUAAUCAGACAGUUUGUUGUGUUUCUUCGAGGAGGACGUAAUCUAUCAGAAACAUCAUCUUAAGCAGGGUAAGUUCACCUCACUGGGGAAACCACGUUUUGCUGAUGUUGACAAAUGAAAGAUUCAUGAGAUUUCUCUCAUCUCGCAGUGCCAUUGCUUUGAUAAUAAUCUUGUUUAGUUGUGGGCUAUAACUUGCAACGGUAAUAUUAGAAAUAUACGAAAUACAAAUAUUGAACAUGAAGACAUAAGACAAAAGAAUGAGACAUUUCUGAUAAGACAUAACAUGCCUCUGUUGAGUAUGGUAGGGUUGAGUGAAAGUGGCAGGGGAGGGGCUAACAUCGAACGGGUGCCUAGCGCGGGAAGCAACUCAGUCAUGCCACACCCACACCACUGUCCCCAAAAUGGGACUUUUAGUGUGGAGAUUCAGGGAAUACCCUUUGCCCUGGUACACUACAAGGCUCCUUUUUCUUCUUGUUUCUUCCGUAUUUCUGUAUAAAGAGGUUUUGUUUUAAACUGUCUAACGCAAAUCCUUCAGACCGACUGCAUCAGCUAUCAUUGGAAGUUUUAAGGUAUCUGCAAUUAAUAAUGGAUGUUUAAAAAAAAAUAACAAUCUCACAAAAAUCAUAAGUGAAAACCUAGUUAUUUAUCCUAGUCCAACUUUAAACCUCUCUUCUUUUCACUUUUUUUUACUGCUUUAAGUGCUCAGUCUAUCUCUAUAUAAAUAUUUAUUUGUAUUUAUGUAUUUAAUUGCAUUGUCAGCUCUAUCCUGUCCUUGACCAUUACACAUAGUCCAGUGGUACCAAACUCUCAUGCACAUAUCAUCACACUAUUCCCAACAUAUAGGCUCAUUACCAGAAACGGAGCUUUUGGGAUCAGGUACACCAAAGUUCAUGGUCACCCAAUGUAAAUCCAGAGCAGCAGUGCUCUUCCCCUCAACUGACACUUUGUUUCUUGUCACUCCGAUGAAAAAAACACAAUGUACACAAAUGACACAAAUGUAUUGAAUUCAGUGCAGCCUCUUUCCAGAAGUUGUGUUUUCAGUAUGGAGAGACCUACUUACAAUUUUGAUGUACAAAACCAAACAAAAAAAGUGAAUUACCUACAUUUGUCCAACUGCCCUUAUUGAAGAGAACAUAAAAGCAAAGAUGAGGUAAAGAGACAGCGAAAAGCUUUUUAAUGCAAUCUGUGUCAUACCACAAACUGGAGUUCAAUGUACAGCCAGUCAAGUUCUUGCAAGUCCUUCAAAAGUUUAUAACGAGACAAUUUGGCACGCACACGACAACUCAAUUAAUGUCUAAUCGCUGAAAGUCAGAAGUCUUGGUUUAUACAGAAUUAGACCUGGGAUGACUAUAGUAUAAUGAUAAUUGCUGUCCAAACUUGUGAAAUGUUACUUACACUAAUAAUUGUGACCCUUAUAUCAUCUGAAGAUUUAUUUUGUAUAUUGAAUUUACUAAUUUAUUGACUCAAUUUCGACGUUGUCGUUCAUCCUAUACAAUAGCAUUAUGUGUGCACUAUAUACAACAUAUACUGUAUGACACUGUACAAGGCAGAGGCUGGAAUUUCCAUGUUUAUUUAUGAUUGCUUAAGAAGACAUGAUUGGAUGUCCACCUGCAUGAAUGAAUUGAAACAGUGAUGCUCAUCACAUGCCUUUCUGAUACUCCACUUGUGUGUAGCACCCUGCAGCAGUCAAACAGGAAAACAAAUAAGACUUCAAUAUUGAAAGAAAAUGUGGACUACAAUGAUUCUACUACUACAAUGUACUACUACUACUUGAUAUUCUUUCAUAACAUAUGAGAAGUGAAACUUGAAUUUUUAGAAUGCCAGUGAGAUGAAAUAAAUGACUAAUGAGAGGGAGUCAGAGACAUGUAGAUCAGGUCACAUGACUAAUGAGAGGGAGUCAGAGACAUGUCGAUCAGGUCACAUGACUAAUGAGAGGGAGUCAGAGACGUGUAGAUCAGGUC